rnacentral:rRNA from 1 species
CAUGGAUAACUGUGGUAAUUCUAGAGCUAAUACAUGCAGUAAGCCUUGACCCUUACGGGCAAGGCGCAGUUAUUAGAUCAAAAACCAAUCGGUUGUGUCUUCGGAUGCAGCCGUUAGCUUGGUGACUCUGAGUAACCACAGCGAACCGUAUGGCCUCGUGCUCGACGGUCUGUCAGUCAAGCAACUGCCUUAUCAGCUUGUUGUUAGGUUAUAUGCCUAACAAGGCUUCAACGGGUAACGAACGAUCGGGGUCGGAUAUCGGAGAGGGAGCUUGAGAAACGGCUACCACUUCCAAGGAAGGCAGCAGGCGCGCAAAUUACCCACUCUCGGCAUGAGGAGGUAGCGAUAAAAUGUAUCGAUGCGGGGCCAUUAGUGCCUUCGUAAUCGGAAUGAGUACACUUUAAAUCCUAUAACAAGGACCUAUUGGAGGGCAAGUCUGGUGCCAGCAGCCGCGGUAAUUCCAGCUCCAAUAGCGUAUAUUAAUGCUGCUGCGGUUAAAAAGCUCGUAGUCGGAUCUGGGUUACCGGCGGGUACCGCAUGUUGCUUCACGCAGCAUGUUGUGUACUAUACGUGUCGCUUCGGCGGCACUGCCAGUGUAAUUGUGCCUCACGUAGGUGCGUUACGCUGGUCGCCGGAACCACGAGCCGGGUUGAGCGGCAUGCUCUUAAUUGAGUGUGUUGUUUACUCGGUGCGUUUACUUUGAAAAAAUUGGAGUGCUCAAAGCAAGCGUGUACAGUCGCUAUGCGGCUUGAACAGUGGUGCAUGGAAUAAUGGAAUAGGGCCUCGGUUCUAUUUUGUUGGUUUUAAGAUAUCGAGGUAAUGAUUAAGAGGGACAGACGGGGACGUUUGUAUUGCGACGUUAGAGGUGAAAUUCUUGGAUCGUCGCAAGACACACUAAUGCGAA